UACGAACUGUGCGAACGUUAUUCGGAAUCAUUGGGCGUAAAGAGCGCGUAGGCGGCCAGAUAAGUCCGGUGUGAAAGUCACAGGCUCAACCUGUGAAUGCCGCUGGAAACUGUCUGGCUAGAGUCCGGGAGGGGCGAGUGGAAUUCCUGGUGUAGCAGUGAAAUGCGUAGAUAUCAAGUGGAACACCAGUGGCGAAGGCGGCUCACUGGCCCGAUACUGACGCUGAGGCACGAAAGCGUGGGGAGCAAACAGG
rnacentral:rRNA from 1 species